AACGAACGCUGGCGGCAGGCCUAACACAUGCAAGUCGAACGCCGUAGCAAUACGGAGUGGCAGACGGGUGAGUAACGCGUGGGAACAUACCCUUUGGUUCGGAAUAACUCAGGGAAACUUGAGCUAAUACCGGAUACGUCCGAGGUUUUAAUCGGCCUUGGAGAAAGAUUUAUCGCCGGAGGAUUGGCCCGCGUCUGAUUAGCUUGUUGGUGAGGUAAUGGCUCACCAAGGCGACGAUCAGUAGCUGGUCUGAGAGGAUGAUCAGCCACAUUGGGACUGAGACACGGCCCAAACUCCUACGGGAGGCAGCAGGUGGGGAAUAUUGGACAAUGGGCGAAAGCCUGAUCCAGCCAUGCCGCGUGAGUGAUGAAGG
rnacentral:rRNA from 1 species